GGCUGGUUGGCGCAAUGGUAGCGCGUUGGUUUUCGGUGUAGAAGCACACCAAAGGUUGCGGGUUCGAAUCCCGUGCUGGUCG